rnacentral:rRNA from 1 species
GUCGCUACUACCGAUUGAAUGGCUUAGUGAGAUCUCCGGAUUGGCUUUGGGAAGCUGGCAACGGCUACCUAUUGCUGAAAAGCUGAUCAAACUUGGUCAUUUAGAGGAAGUAAAAGUCGUAACAAGGUUUCC